GAUGAACGCUGGCGGCGUGCCUAAUACAUGCAAGUCGAACGGUACCGGGCAACCGGUAUAGUGGCGAACGGGUGAGUAACGCGUUGGUGACCUGCCCCGAAGUGUGGGAUAACAGUUCGAAAGGACUGCUAAUACCGCAUGUGGAUAUGGAGAUUGGAAGUCCAUAUCGAAAGGAGUACUUCGCUUCGGGAGGGGCCUGCGUCCCAUCAGCUAGUUGGUAGGGUAACGGCCUACCAAGGCGAUGACGGGUAGGGGACCUGAGAGGGUGGCCCCCC
rnacentral:rRNA from 1 species